GUUUGGGCGCGUCCGGAUGAGCUCUCGCGAGAGUUGGGCGGGUCCCGCCAGCACCAGUGUGUGGCGCUUCUCCGGGUGUUCAGGGGAAGAAACUGAUCCAGAGAGAACCUGGUUUGCCUUUGGGUCUGUGCAUCCAGAGUCCAAGGGGGAAGACUGCUACAAGGACAGAGAAGGUGGGUCGUGGCCUCUGGGAUCACGCCCCCCCUUCAUCUCUGCUGGGGGCCUGUGCUGGUACCUGAGCUUCCACACCCAUCCCGCCUCCCCCAGGAGUGGGAGUCUGUUACUUGACUCUGGGCAUGGCCGGUCUGUCAGCUGUCCUGUACCAGUUGCUAGAGUCUGGGGACACUUCACAUGGCAGCUGCCUCGAGCCCUCCACCUGCCCCAGCCUCUCCCACACAGUUCCCUGGGUCCCUCCCCCAAUCCAGCAACUAAGGAGUAUCCUCAGGACACCACCCUUGUGUCUGACUGUUCAGGUCCAGCCUAGUGGUUUUGUGUCACUCUUGGUCAAGUGGUCCGACCGAUUUAUGCCGACCUCUUGCCUGGUCUGCAGAUGGAAACUCGAGGGGGUCUCAGCUUGGAACUGCCUCUGCGAGACAGAGGUCGUGUACACUGUGAGGGACACAACAGACCCAUCCUGAAUAUCUUCCCUAAACAGGCAACUCGGAACAGGAGUUUCUCCCCACACUGCUGAAGGCCUGGUCCUCAGCAAGGAACAUUUAGAGUAAGCGACCUCCACUCAUCAAGAUCUAAAGUAGCUGAGGCAGGGCUUGGUUUAGUGCGCUGAGUGCACAGCUUCCCGUACCUGGCGUUGGGGAGUGAGGUGGGUCCAGCAGCUCUGAGAGCAGCACCAAGGAGGCAGAAAUGCCCGCAGCUCUCCCUCUUGACUUUGCUGCAGCCAGACUCAGGAAGCAGCUCUGCCCAGGGUUGGGCAGUCCCAGAGGCACUGUCCCUCUGAGCUCAGCCCACCUGUUCCCAGGUGUGCUUAUCCUAUGUUUUCAUGUGGGCUUUCAUUUCCAAGUGUUCCAUAUGGUUAGAACCCAGUCGCCUCAUGACUGGGAGCACCAGCAUCAAGUAUAGAAUCAGAGUAAUAAUAAUAGUAUUUACCUCCCAGGAGCGUCUGCCCACGAGAGAGCUGCACAAACAUUCACUUUCUUAUUGCUGGCUGUGUGACCAGAGGCAAUACCUGACCCUCUCCGUGCCGGUUUUAUUUUUAAACAGAAAUAAAAAUACACAGACCAGGAGUCUGUAAAGUGCUCAGACAA